AAUGAACGUUGGCGGCGUGGAUUAGGCAUGCAAGUCGUGCGCGAAAUGUAGCAAUACGUGGAGAGCGGCGAAAGGGAGAGUACAACACGGUUAGCUACCCUCGGGACUGGGAUAGCGGCGGGAAACUGCCGGUAAUACCAGAUGACGUCUUCGGACCAAACGUGUAAACCGGCCCGAGGAGGCGACCGUGUCCUAUCAGCUUGUUGGCGGGGUAACGGCCCACCAAGGCUCUGACGGGGUAUGGGGCGNGAGAGCGUGCCCCCACUCACUGGGACUGAGACACUGCCCAGACACCUACGGGUGGGCUGCAGUCGAGAAUCUUCGGCAAUGGGCGCAAGCCUGACCGAGCGACGCCGCGUGCGGGA
rnacentral:rRNA from 1 species